GUUCCCAGCCCAGUGUGUUUUUUCUCUUCCUUUGUUGUAAGAUAAAACACAACUGAAGUUAAAACUGUGUGGCAUAGACUUUACAAAAGCCAAGUAAGUUGAGGAAGGGACGAUGGGGAGCUUUGAGUGAUUAAAGAAGUAAAGGAGGAGAUAAUGAUGUGGGGUAUGCCUGUGAGGAAUAAGUGGAGGAAGGAGAGUAAUCCAGCCAGGGAGAACCAAAUACCUGUUAUGAUCAUGGGGCAGAGAAAAGCCAGCUAGACCAACAUGAAAGGACCCAGAUUGGCAAAGGUCGCACCAUCUGGAGCACUGCUGGUCGCUGUGGCAGGAGAGAAGAAUGGAGUGGUACAUCCCUUGCUGCUGUCUAACACUGCAGCCUCGAAGAGACAUAUGUCACUUUUGCUCCCGACCCACUAGCCAAAAGUAGGCAUGUGUACCCCUCUAGGGGAACUUCAGGAUGUUUGGUGAGCAGUAAGUGUUUCUUCCAGGAUAUAAAGCCUAAUAAAAAUUUAAAGUAUGA